rnacentral:rRNA from 1 species
AUUGAACGCUGGCGGCAGGCCUAACACAUGCAAGUCGAACGGUAACAGGAAGCAGCUUGCUGCUUUGCUGACGAGUGGCGGACGGGUGAGUAAUGUCUGGGAAACUGCCCGAUGGAGGGGGAUAACUACUGGAAACGGUAGCUAAUACCGCAUAACGUCGCAAGACCAAAGAGGGGGACCUUAGGGCCUCUUGCCAUCGGAUGUGCCCAGAUGGGAUUAGCUAGUAGGUGGGGUAACGGCUCACCUAGGCGACGAUCCCUAGCUGGUCUGAGAGGAUGACCAGCCACACUGGAACUGAGACACGGUCCAGACUCCUACGGGAGGCAGCAGUGGGGAAUAUUGCACAAUGGGCGCAAGCCUGAUGCAGCCAUGCCGCGUGUAUGAAGAAGGCCUUCGGGUUGUAAAGUACUUUCAGCGGGGAGGAAGGGAGUAAAGUUAAUACCUUUGCUCAUUGACGUGACCCGCAGAAGAAGCACCGGCUAACUCCGU